rnacentral:misc_RNA from 1 species
CCAAACUUGGUCAUUUAGAGGAAGUAAAAGUCGUAACAAGGUUUCCGUAGGUGAACCUGCGGAAGGAUCAUUAUUGGAAAUAUAAAACUUUUUCAAGUCAAUGGAAGGGGAAGGGGAAAGAAAUUUUCUUUUCUUCUUCUGGCUUGCAAACAACUUUGAUACCCAAAAAGAGUUUCAUCUUCUUCAUCUUCAGCUUUAUUGGCUUAGGUUGAUUGGUUGGUUGGAGGGAAGAAAAAAGGAGGAAGGGUGAUUGGGGGGAAACCUCAGUUCCCUGAAUCCCAAUAACAACAUAUAUGGUUGCCUGAUAAAAAAAGAGUUUGGUUUCUGGAAAUGGAAAAGAAAAUGAAACAACUUUCAACAACGGAUCUCUUGGCUCUCACAUCGAUGAAGAACGCAGC